rnacentral:rRNA from 1 species
UGGGGAAUAUUGCACAAUGGGCGCAAGCCUGAUGCAGCCAUGCCGCGUGUGUGAAGAAGGCCUUCGGGUUGUAAAGCACUUUCAGCGAGGAGGAAGGGUAGUGUGUUAAUAGCACAUUGCAUUGACGUUACUCGCAGAAGAAGCACCGGCUAACUCCGUGCCAGCAGCCGCGGUAAUACGGAGGGUGCAAGCGUUAAUCGGAAUUACUGGGCGUAAAGCGCACGCAGGCGGUUUGUUAAGUCAGAUGUGAAA